rnacentral:misc_RNA from 1 species
CGGCCAGCUCAUAAAACCAAUAGCAACUGAAAUCAGCCAUUGCUUCCAGUUAAGCCCCACUGUUGAAGUAAACUUUCCAUUGAACUCAACUAUAAUAAACUGAAGAAUUAUUUCUACUGCAACUAUCCCCAUGAACAAAUGGUUUUUUGUGACUCCUUUAAAAAUAUUCCUUUCAUCUGGUUUUCGGGCAUUAAAUUCAUUGAAGAUUUGACAAAGCACAAAUGCAUUGAACAUUAUGGUAUGGUUCACUUUGUUUGCA